rnacentral:rRNA from 1 species
CCCUUAGAUGUUCUGGGCAGCACGCGCGCUACAAUGGUCUUCGCAAACGGAUGCAUUCUCGAAGGAGAAUGCCAAUCUUGGAAUCUAUGCCUUGGUCGGGACAGUUGCUUGCAAUUUUUCGACUCGAACCAGGAAUUCCUUGUAAUCGUGAUUCAUCACAUCACGAUGAAUACGUCCCUGCCCUUUGUACACACCGCCCGUCGCUCCUACCGAUCGAAGAGUUAGGUGAAUUGUUUUGAUCGAUAAGAUUUGACUAUGGUCAACUCUCGUUGUGAAAUUCUGUGAAUCUGACUGGUUAGAGGAAGGAAAAGUCGUAACA